CAAUUUAAGCUUCUUAGCAUAAGAAUCUCUUAGGUCCCAACCCACCUCUAGGGUAUCUCCUGGCACUUGUCACGUUUACACACGCCUGGUAUGAGUUUCAUCAUCCAGGGAUGUUCUUCCACUCUUGUUCAUCUUUCAGAGGCAUCCUUUAAAGCAGAGCUUUGACCUCAACCAGCUGCCAGCUUCUAGACAACAUAGCGAUCACUCCCCCUUCCACACCUCUGCUUCGUAUCACACAACUGUAAAUUGUUGGCUCCCCAUCUAAAUCUGAAACCUCUAAGACAAGGAACUAUGAAUUACUCAUUUUUAAGUUCCUAGAACUUUAUAGAGAGCUGGCACUUAGCAAUUAAUAAAAUAUUGAAUGUAAUAAAUUAUGCAGAUAUUCAAGUUGAAGGUUGAGUAGGUAAGGUACUGUGGAAAAUUUCUGCCCUCAAGUAUCUCAAAAACUCGGACAGGGCAUCAUUCAAAAAUCAUUGUAGUGGCAAGUUUAUGACAUUAAUCUUUUAACCAAAAAUACAUCAGGAUACUGGGAAGAUCACGGUACACAACUUAAUUUUGUUCACUCUGCCUGAUCGGGGAUUUCAUUCUCCAUUUGUGUCAGAUUUUUCUCAGACAAUUUCGUGUCAUUAGCCUGAUUUUUUAGAUUAUGUUCAAACAGCAGUAACCACGACGGACAUGACUUAAAGUAUGAAUCAUAAUUUUCCAUUUUCAAAAGUUAGCCCCUUUAAAAAGUCUCGGACUUUGUUUUGAAGACCAUAGCUGUUUGGUGUGUAAGAUAUGGUCACGUACAGUACUUGGCGGCUUCUGGCAUUAUUAAGUUAAUCUGUCCAGUGCUAUUUACAGACCUUAAAGCUGCCCCGGUCAGCUGCUCUGCUGGUACUCACAUGUUAUUAAUGAUGAUGAGAGUUAAUUUACAAGUGAGGAUCUUCAAAGCUAGCGAGGAGCUUUGUGAGCUGUUUCUAAUGCGACACCCACAAGAAAAUACAGCAUCCUGCAUUUUCCGACAGAUUUAAACCAAUAGAUUGAGACAAAGCAGUCAUUUUUUCACAUCGACCCCCUGUCUUUCAUUAUUUUGACAAAGAACUUAAAAUGUCAAAAAGUAGAACUGGGUUGUCUUAGAUCUAUU